CUACAGUCAAUUAAGCUGACUGGGUUCCUCUGCUGGUGGGUGCCCAGUAUGCAAUGGCUUCAAACAGCAAUCUCCUCAGUAGUGAAUGAGGCCUGUUGCUUGUACCAGCUGCCCUAAGGGACCUUGGAGACAGUG
ensembl:snoRNA SNORA70 Small nucleolar RNA SNORA70